rnacentral:lncRNA from 1 species
GACGGGGUUAGGUGGUGGCAACAGACAGAAGGAUGGGCAUGCUGGCCUAGGCACAACGGCUGACAGUCGGGCAAGGAUUAGGGUUUCCAAAUGUUAGGCUAUUUGGGUUUUUUUUUGUUUGGGUUAGUGUAGGUAUUGGGCUUGGGGUAUUUGGGGCUUAAGUGUUUAGGUUAGUUUGGGUUUUGAUAUAAAUGGGUUUAAGUGGGGUCUGAUGGGUUAAGG